rnacentral:rRNA from 1 species
AAUCUUGGACAAUGGGGGAGACUCUGAUCCAGCCAUCUCGUGUGUAUGACGAAGGCCCUCGGGCGGUAAGGUACUUCUGGCAGAGAAGAAAAGGUAUCUCCUAAUACGUGAUACUGCUGACGGUAUCUGCAGAUUAAGCACCGGCUAACUACGUGCCAGCAGCCGCGGUAAUACGAAGGGUGCAAGCUUUAAUCGGAAUUACUGGGCGUAAAGCGUGUGUAGGCGGUUCGGAAAGAAAGAUGUGAAAUCCCAGGGCUCAACCUUGGAACUGCAUUGUUAACUGCCGAGCUAGAGUAUGUCAGAGGGGGGUAGAAUUCCACGUGUAGCAGUGAAAUGCGUAGAUAUGUGGAGGAAUACCGAUGGCGAAGGCAGCCCCCUGGGAUAAUACUGACGCUCAGACACGAAAGCGUGGGGAGCAAACA